AUUGAACGCUGGCGGCAUGCCUUACACAUGCAAGUCGAACGGUAACAGGUUAAGCUGACGAGUGGCGAACGGGUGAGUAAUGUAUCGGAACGUGCCCAGUCGUGGGGGAUAACUGCUCGAAAGAGCAGCUAAUACCGCAUACGACCUGAGGGUGAAAGCGGGGGAUCGCAAGACCUCGCGCGAUUGGAGCGGCCGAUAUCAGAUUAGGUAGUUGGUGAGGUAAAGGCUCACCAAGCCGACGAUCUGUAGCUGGUCUGAGAGGACGACCAGCCACACUGGGACUGAGACACGGCCCAGACUCCUACGGGAGGCAGCAGUGGGGAAUUUUGGACAAUGGGCGCAAGCCUGAUCCAGCCAUGCCGCGUGCGGGAAGAAGGCCUUCGGGUUGCAAACCGCUUUUGUCAGGGAAGAAAAGGUUCUGGCUAAUACCUGGGACUCAUGACGGUACCUGAAGAAUAAGCACCGGCUAACUACGUG
rnacentral:rRNA from 1 species